AUGUGGGUGGGGUUAGAUGCAAUGACAUAUGGAAAACGCCCAUUGUAGUAAAGCUUGGCACAAAGGUGGAAGCCAAUGUGCCCUCUAUCACUUAUCUUCCAGACUCCCCCGUGAGCCAAAUACGGUUAUUAUUCACUACCUUUGCAACAGAUCCAGAUCUGAUCCAGACUUUUCAUCAAGGGAGCUGUAUCACUCUGAAGAUCUUCCAACAGGCCUUUUGGGAAUGGGAAAUGGGAGAGCUCGGAGCAGACCUUACCAUGUGCAAAUUAAAUCAGCAAGCAUCA